rnacentral:rRNA from 1 species
UACGUAGGGGGCAAGCGUUGUCCGGAUUUAUUGGGCGUAAAGAGCGUGUAGGCGGUUUGGUAGGUCCGUUGUGAAAACUCGAGGCUCAACCUCGAGACGUCGAUGGAAACCAUCAGACUAGAGUCCGGAAGAGGAGAGUGGAAUUCCUGGUGUAGCGGUGAAAUGCGCAGAUAUCAGGAAGAACACCCGUGGCUAAGGCGGCUCUCUAGUACGGUACUGACGCUGAGACGCGAAAGCGUGGGGAGCGAACAGG